rnacentral:rRNA from 1 species
UACGUAGGGGGCAAGCGUUGUUCGGAAUUACUGGGCGUAAGGGCUCGUAGGCGGCCAACUAAGUCAGACGUGAAAUCCCCAGGCUCAACCUGGGAACUGCGUCUGAUACUGGAUGGCUUGAAUUCGGGAGAGGGAUGCAGAAUUCCGGGUGUAGCGGUGAAAUGCGUAGAUAUCUGGAGGAAUACCGGUGGCGAAGGCGGCAUCCUGGACCGACAUUGACGCUGAGGAGCGAAAGCUAGGGGAGCAAACGGG